UACGUAGGUGACAAGCGUUGUCCGGAUUUACUGGGCGUAAAGAGCGCGCAGGCGGUCGUUCAAGUCGAGUGUGAAGGCCCCCGGCUCAACUGGGGAGGGUCACUCGAUACUGAUCGACUCGAAGGCAGGAGAGGGAAGUGGAAUUCCCGGUGUAGUGGUGAAAUGCGUAGAUAUCUGGAGGAACACCGGUGGCGAAGGCGGCAUCCUGGACCGAGAUUGACGCUGAGGCGCGAAAGCCAGGGGAGCAAACGGG
rnacentral:rRNA from 1 species